UACGUAGGGUGCAAGCGUUGUCCGGAAUUAUUGGGCGUAAAGAGCUCGUAGGCGGUUUGUCGCGUCUGCCGUGAAAACCCGAGGCUUAACCUCGUGGCUUGCGGUGGAUACGGGCAGAACUAGAGGUAGGUAGGGGAGAAUGGAAUUCCUGGUGUAGCGGUGAAAUGCGCAGAUAUCAGGAGGAACACCGGUGGCGAAGGCGGCAUCCUGGACCGGUAUUGACGCUGAGGCGCGAAAGCUAGGGGAGCAAACGGG
rnacentral:rRNA from 1 species